GAGCAGUUCGACCUGCUAGUUCAAUAAGUCAAAGGCCUCACCGAAGUAGUGCAGGCCAUGCAGCAGCAGCAGCAACAGCCGUAGGCAUCAGUACGAUUGAAAAGAACAUCGUCGGAGUUCCAAAAUUCAAUAGUAGGGCGGACCACUUGGGCCAGUCGCCCUGUCUUCCCCAGAAAGGGGAAUCUGAGGGUAGAGAGCCCUCGAUCUGAUCACGAUUCCACUCUCAAAAAAUCUCUACCUCUAUUCUACCGAAAGACCCUCGAGACUCACAAUCGAGAGGACCUCCUGGAUCAAAGGCUCCAGGAGAUGAACCA
rnacentral:lncRNA from 1 species